AUGGCCUCGGUGGACCUGCAACGCCUGCGCCACAUGUUACUCACCACCGGCGCCGGCGGCGGUCACCACCAGCUCGCCUCCGCCGCUUCUAUGCCGGCCAGUGGGCCUUGUUAUGUCGCUGCAGCGCCGAGCCAGCGGGGGCACCAGCCGUACGCGGACCUCUUCACGCUGCCGCUGCCACGGCCGCCCAGGACGUCGGCGGCCGCGGAGCAGUAUUCGGAGUUCUUGGCGAUGGCUGCAGCUGAUCUGGCGAAGAAGGGCGUCAGCCACGACGGUGCUCAGGAAAUGAUAACUAAGAAGCGGAGGCGCGACGAGCAGUCGUCGAUGCUUGGCGCGGCCGACGUUCUUGCGGCCCACGCGCUACAGCAGAUCACGGACGUCGACAGCAUCCUGCUCAAACAUGCGAGAAAGAUGUGGACUACUUUGGCGGAGCAGAGGCAGAGCCAGACGAGGCUUAUCGUCUCGGCCGUGGAGGCCAGGGCGGCGAAGCGGCUCAAGGCCAAGGACGAGGAGAUUGAGCGGACCAGGACCAUGAACUGGGCGCUCGAGGAGCGCCUUAGGAACCUCUUCAUGGAGGCUCAGAUGUGGCGCGACGUCGCGCAGUCCAACGAGGCCACGGCCAACGUGCUCCGCGGCGACCUUCAGCGGGCGCUCGACGCCCAGGCGGUCCGUGGCGGUCAGGAGAACGACGCCGAGUCGUGCUGCUGGGGGGAGAACCAGGUGCCCCUCUGCGCGGAGGAGGAGGUGGGCACGCCGGUAGUGGAUGAGCGUCACGCGACAGGAGCAGGAAGGUGCAAGGGGUGCCGCGAGGGCGCGGCUGUUGUGCUGCUGCUGCCGUGCCGGCACCUCUGCGUGUGCGCGCCGUGCGCGGCCGCGGCGCAGGUGUGCCCGGUGUGCGGAAGCGCCAAGAAUGGCAGCAUCUGCGCCAACUUUUCGUGA
rnacentral:rRNA from 1 species